AACGAACGCUGGCGGCAUGCCUAACACAUGCAAGUCGAACGAGACCUUCGGGUCUAGUUGCGCACGGGUGCGUAACGCGUGGGAACCUGCCCUUAGGUUCGGAAUAACACCCCGUAAGGGGUGCUAAUACCGGGUAAUGUACUCGGACCAAAGAUUUAUCGCCUUUGGAUGGGCCCGCGUUGGUUUAGCUAGUUGGUAGGGUAAAAGCCUACCAAGGCGUCGCUCCUUAGCUGGUUUGAGAGGCUGAUCAGCCACACUGGGACUGAGACACGGCCCAGACUCUUACGGGAGGGAGCAGUGGGGAAUAUUGGACAAUGGGCGAAAGGCUGAUCCAGCAAUGCCGCGAGAGUGAUGAAGGCCUUAGGGUAGUACAGCUGUUUUACCCGGGAUGAUAAUGACAGUACCGGGAGAAUAAGCUCCGGCUAACUCCGUG
rnacentral:rRNA from 1 species